CCUACGGGUGGCAGCAGUGAGGAAUAUUGGUCAAUGGGCGUAAGCCUGAACCAGCCAAGUCGCGUGAGGGAUGAAGGUUCUAUGGAUCGUAAACCUCUUUUAUAAGGGAAUAAAGUGUGGGACGUGUCCUAUUUUGUAUGUACCUUAUGAAUAAGGAUCGGCCAACUCCGGGCCAGCAGCCGCGGUAAUACGGAGGAUCCGAGCGUUAUCCGGAUUUAUGGGGUUUAAAGGGUGCGGAGGCGGCCUUUUAAGUUAGCGGUGAAAGUCUGUGGCUCAACCAUAGAUCUGCCGUUGAAACUGGGGGGCUUGAGUAUGUUUGAGGCAGGCGGAAUGCGUGGUGUAGCGGUGAAAUGCUUAGAUAUCACGCAGAACCCCGAUUGCGAAGGCAGCCUGCCAGGCCAUGACUGACGCUGAUGCACGAAAGCGUGGGGAUCAAACAGGAGUAGAUACCCCUGUAGUC
rnacentral:rRNA from 1 species